rnacentral:rRNA from 1 species
GCGUGUUUAUUAGAUCUGAAGCCAAUCCGCUUCGGCGGUAGAGGUGAGUCAUAAUAACCUUACGAAUCGCAUGUCCUAGCGACGGCGAUGCGGCGUUUAAACAUCUGCCCCAUCAAGCUGACGGUAGGAUAGAGGCCUACCGUACUUAUGACGGGUAACGGAGGAUUAGGGUUUGAUUCCGGAGAGGGAGCCUGAGAAACGGCUACCACGUCCAAGGACAGCAGCAGGCGCGCAAAUUACCCAAUCUCGAUACGAGGAGGUAGUGACAAGAAAUAACAAUGCAGGGCUCGAAGAGUCUUGUAAUUGGAAUGAGUACAAUCCAAAACACUUAACGAGGAUCAAUUGGAGGGCAAGUCUGGUGCCAGCAGCCGCGGUAAUUCCAGCUCCAAUAGCGUAUAUUAAUGCUGCUGCGGUUGAAACGCUCGUAGUUGGACUUUGGGGCAGGUGCUGGGGUCGGCCUCCGGGCUGUAUUCCACUGCCGGUCCUUAUGCCGCAGUUGCCCCCCUUGGCUUCGGCUGGGGAUCAGGGGUGGCUACGGCCGGUUACUUUGAAGAAAUUAGAGUGUUCAAAGCAGGC